rnacentral:tRNA from 1 species
GGUAGGGUGGCCGAGAGGUCAGGCAGCGGGUUGUAGCCUCGCGAACGGAGGUUUAAGUCCCCCCACUACA